GACGAACGCUGGCGGCGUGCUUAACACAUGCAAGUCGAACGGAGAGGCCCUUCGGGGUCCUCGAGUGGCGAACGGGUGAGUAACACGUGGGUGAUCUGCCCUGCACUUUGGGAUAAGCCUGGGAAACUGGGUCUAAUACCGAAUAGGACCACGCGCUUCAUGGUGUGUGGUGGAAAGCUUUUGCGGUGUGGGAUGGGCCCGCGGCCGAUCAGCUUGUUGGUGGGGUAAUGGCCUACCAAGGCGACGACGGGUAGCCGGCCUGAGAGGGUGACCGGCCACACUGGGCCUGAGAUACGGCCCAGACUCCUACGGGAGGCAGCAGUGGGGAAUAUUGCACAAUGGGCGCAAGCCUGAUGCAGCGACGCCGCGUGAGGGAUGACGGCCUUCGGGUUGUAAACCUCUUUCACCAGGGACGAAGCGUAAGUGACGGUACCUGGAGAAGAAGCACCGGCCAACUACGUG
rnacentral:rRNA from 1 species